rnacentral:lncRNA from 1 species
AAUAGUGAACAAAAGCAUACUCCUGUAUUGUGUUGUGGUGUCUCCAGGUCUACUAGCGAGGACAAGGUGGAGAUGAUCUGGCUGCAGAAACAGCUAGUUGAGAAGGGCAACACGUUCACUGUGCUCGAGGGCAGAUUCCUACAACUCCAAGAGGUGAAACACAACAGCACGUUACAGGAUACACUAGUUGAUUAGCAAUGCUCUAGCACACGGGCGGGCAAACUUUUGGAAAAUGUUUUGGUCUCCCCAGCACAUUGUAAUCAAUAGUCGUCGUGGAAACUUCAAAUAACUUGUUCUUUCGAAAGAACACAUACUAUUUAAACCCAGUCACCAUGGUAAUGACCCCUAUGUUGUGAUUGCAGAGUCAGUGGACCCUGAAGGCCAGUCAUGAAGCUGUGAUGGCCAAGAUGGACGAGCUCACGGGCCAUCUGAAAGACGAGCGACUGAGAAGUCUUGGCCUGGAGAGCCAACUACAAGGCCAACUCAUUCUCACAGAGGAGGACAGAGGAGCAAAUCCAUGACCUGGAGAAGGAGAGAGAGCUGCUAAAGGAGAACUGUGAUAAACUAAUGAACAGAAAUUCGGGACGUGAGAGCAGCAGCUGAAACUACAGAUAGCCCAGCUAGAGGUGGCACUGAAGUCUGACCUGACAGACCAAAACGAGAUUCUGGACAAGAUCACGGUUGAAAGAGGUAUCUGUUGAAAGAGGUAUCUGUCAACCAGGACCUUUGUGUCUUUAAAAUUGUUUCGUGUGAAUUCAGAUUUACAAACAUUUUUUAUUUUAUUAGGAGUCAAGAAAAUAAAGAGAUUCAGCUUUGGUUUCUGGAGCAAAAGCAGCAGUUGGAUGAAAUAAAGGAUCAGAUGAAGUUCUACACCAAGGUUCUCACUCCAAAUAAGAAUGAAUGAAUGUUUUUUGUGUGCAGAUAUGUACACCAUGUCAUUACUCUGCUGUGCAUACAUCUUGCUAGCUGUCACUCAUAUGGCGAGGGGCUGAAGCUCAUUGGUUGAACUCAAAUUGCUAGGGGGCUGACCCAGGUGGGGGAAAAUGUAUGGAAAAUGGCGCAGCAGAGCUUCCAGAAAAACAGUUGCUUUCAAACUACACAUUGAUACAUCCAGCCUAAAGCUGGAGGUUCAAUAAAUACAUAGUAGUCGCAAAAGGUUUUUUUUAGGAACAGUGGAUUAACUGCCUUGUUCAGGGGCAGAACGAG